GCCUGCAUGGUGCAGUGAUUUGAGUGCUGGACUAUGACUCUGGAGACCAGGGUACAAAUCCCUGCUUGGGAA